rnacentral:lncRNA from 1 species
GAGAGCUGCAUGGCUUCAGGAGAAUCUCCACCUUAGAUCUGUUUGCUCUUCCGGACAAUGAAAGAAAUGAUCGUGUCUCUCAUGCAAGACUGUUGGAAACUGGUGACUCUCUCUGAAGUACAGCUUUAAUAUCUGCAGAGUAACUUUCCUCUUUGUGCGACUGAGGAUUGGAAUCGGUGCUCAUUAGAGGCAUGUCUUUGCUCUCUCCUCGAUUCCCUCCCAAUCCCUUCUGUUUUGGCCCAUGGAAUGCAAGAGGCACAGAAAACACACCUACCUAACUAGGAGGAUUCCUGAACCUCAUGUUUCUGGACGGUGGUGGCACAUGCCACAUUCCCUACUUCAAUGUAUCUUCAGUGGAGUGGAGACUACUACACAGCAAAGGCUGGCCCAAGGCAGAGUGGUGCAGAAUUCAGAGGAACAGUUUAAGCAUCUGGCUUCUUCCUGGAACAGAGAAGACCCUGCCCUCCCCACCCAGUGCCAGGAUUGUAUCUUAUGUAUUUUGACUCUCCUAUAAUGCCUUGUGGUGAGCACGUGGUCCUCACAAUGCUUGAUGAGUAGAUAAAAGGGAACAUAAAAGCAGAGAUUGUUGUUAAGAUGGAUGGUCCAAAAGAAGUGGAAUUAAUACAGCUGACUCAGUUUUG